CUUGAGUUCUUGCUGAAGAAAAUGAUUGACCUGAAGAGCAGUGAACUCACCUCCUGUGCACAUUGAUUUCCACACCCACGUGUGCUUUGCACAGACUCCUUGGGCUCUAACCCGGCUGAUUUGCUACCGACCGUGGGGCAGCAAACAUGGGAUUUCACGAGGAGAUACAGGUUCUCUGAAAGGUGGGAGCAGGUUCGGCGAUGACAGUCAGACAAAAGCACUCAACACCGAGGUGAAGUUUGCAAAUGCUGCUGCAAUUUUAUUUCUAACUCUAGGUGUUUAUAUACUAGUUUCAAGGGCACACCUCAAGAGUUAUUUCAGUCACAGGCAGGCAUGAGAAAGAGACAAUAGUACUGUAAAAACUAAGACCACAAGGUCAAGGUAAGACCACACCUAUAUACCAUCACAAAAGCUAAGACCAUUAAGUCAAGGUAAGACCACACCUAUACGCAGUCAGAAGGGGAAAUUUGUAAAAC
rnacentral:lncRNA from 1 species